rnacentral:rRNA from 1 species
GUGCCAGCAGCCGCGGUAAUACGUAGGGGGCAAGCGUUAUCCGGAAUUAUUGGGCGUAAAGAGUGCGUAGGUGGUUACCUAAGCAGGGGGUGAAAGGCACUGGCUUAACCAAUGUCAGCCCCCUGAACUGGGCUACUUGAGUGCAGGAGAGGAAAGUGGAAUUCCUAGUGUAGCGGUGAAAUGCGUAGAUAUUAGGAGGAACACCAGUGGCGAAGGCGACUUUCUGGACUGUUACUGACACUGAGGCACGAAAGUGUGGGGAGCAAACAGGAUUAGAUACCCUGGUAGUCCACACCGUAAACGAUGAGCACUAGGUGUCGGGGGAGCAAUUUCUCGGUGCCGCAGUUAACGCAUUAAGUGCUCCGCCUGGGGAGUACGUACGCAAGUAUGAAACUCAAAGGAAUUGACGGGGACCCGCACAAGCAGCGGAGCAUGUGGUUUAAUUCGAAGCAACGCGAAGAACCUUACCAGGUCUUGACAUCCCUCUGAAACUCCUGAUAACGAUGGAGCCUCCUUCGGGACAGAGGAGACAGGUGGUGCAUGGUUGUCGUCAGCUCGUGUCGUGAGAUGUUGGGUUAAGUCCCGCAACGAGCGCAACCCUUGCCGAUAGUUGCCAUCAUUAAGUUGGGCACUCUAUCGGGACUGCCGGGGACAACUCGGAGGAAGGUGGGGAUGACGUCAAAUCAUCAUGCCCCUUAUGAUCUGGGCUACACACGUGCUACAAUGGUCGGUACAAAAGGCAGCAAACCUGUGAGGGGGAGCAAAUCCCAAAAACCGAUCCCAGUUCGGACUGUAGGCUGCAACUCGCCUACACGAAGUCGGAGUUGCUAGUAAUCGUGGAUCAGAAUGCCACGGUGAAUGCGUUCCCGGGUCUUGUACACACCGCCCGU